rnacentral:rRNA from 1 species
UACGUAGGUGGCAAGCGUUGUCCGGAAUUAUUGGGCGUAAAGCGCGCGCAGGCGGCUUCUUAAGUCUGAUGUGAAAUCUCGGGGCUCAACCCCGAGCGGCCAUUGGAAACUGGGAGCUUGAGUACAGAAGAGGAGAGUGGAAUUCCACGUGUAGCGGUGAAAUGCAUAGAUAUGUGGAGGAACACCAGUGGCGAAGGCGACUCUCUGGUCUGUAACUGACGCUGAGGCGCGAAAGCGUGGGGAGCAAACAGG